GUAAAAGGUAAGUCAGUUGGAUUUCCUGCACCUCAGGCUAAGAGGGCAAGGGCUGGAUAUAAGCCAGGCCACAGAAUGACGUUCUUUACUUGUGACUCCCACAGAGUAUUUGUAUAGCAUUUGCCUCCUUAGGUCUCAUCAGUUUGCACUACAACCACUGGAAUUAGAAAACUAAGUGCCGGUUUGGAUGCAGUGUCUCACCUCCGUGGCACCUGGAAUGCCCCCUUCCCUUCACAGUGAUCAGUGUCCCUAUGAACUGUGCAUGUUCACUGUUGGAAUCUCUGGGCAUCCUCGGGAUAGAAACUGUGGCUGCUGAUGUCUUUCUCCCAGCCCAGAGAGACAAGUGACGUCUACAUCUGUGUGCCUGCCUUCUCUGCUGGGUGUGUGUCCCUCACGUGUACCAGCCCCUGACUUCUUUCACAAACACCGAGGUUUGGGUUCCACUCUUGCUGUCAUCCUACCAUAAAUUCUCUGGGUCAGUACCGGGGGAUGAGGUGCGUGCAGUUGUUCGGAGCGUUCACUUGGGAUGCGCUGAGGCCAACAUCAAAUCAGGUGAAGCUCUAAGCUGAAACUGGGUCUUCACUGUCUCAGCUAGAAGUCCACUGAUGUCAGGACUGGCACUGGCCCCAGGAUGAGUUCUCUCCACCAUUUUUGGGGUGGCUGUCAGCAGUCUAUCAUGCACAGGAGGGAUGCUGACAGCAGCCAAAAACGAUUUGGCACAGCUCAGAAGUGCCCAGGUGACAGCCUCCUCUACCAGAGAGCUGAGGCCAGCUUGGUCUGCACCUCCUGCCAGCAGACUCAACAGCACCAGGACAGCGAGCCCCUGCUUGUCUUGGGAUUCAUCUGGACUUGA
rnacentral:lncRNA from 1 species